GGGCUCGUAGCUCAGCAUGGAUAGAGCGCCUGCCUUCUAACAGCCGGAAGUCGUGGGAUCGAAGCCCACCGGGCCCG
rnacentral:tRNA from 1 species